ACAUUCCCAAAUUCACAGGGCAGGUGUCACCUGACCCCGAUGGCCAGAGGACAACACCGAGCUCCUGUGGGGUGACACCGGAGCCGGUCAUGGAUGCUGGGAAGCUCCUGGAGCCCAAAGCCUGCACCCCAAGGGCCAACAUGUCCCCGUGCCAGGGCCUCACCAGGGCUGGGCAGCGGUGCCGGAAGAAAGCGAUUCCCGGGCUGGAAUUCUGCCACAUCCACACCACCAGCAGUAGCUCGGCCAUGGAUUCAUCCCCCUGUUUUUGACCCUCUACCCCCUCCC